CUCACAAUGAUCCUCCUGCUUCAGCCUCCAAAGUGCUGGGAUUACAGGCAUGCACCACCACGCUCAGCUUACCCAUAGGAGUUGAAAGCUUAUGUUCAUGCAAAACUGUGCACAUGCAUGUUUAUAUCAGUUUUAUUCACCUCUGCCAAAACUCAGAAAUAACCAACAUGCCCUUGAGCAGGGUGUUUCCAAAAUGGUUACUAUUUGAAUCUGUGUAGUGAGUAUUCCCUCACUAAUGUGGGUGGGUGUAAUCCAAGCCACUGAGGAUCCAAACAGAACAAAAAGGUGGUGGAAGGAUAAAUGUGCUUCUGCUUGAGCGGAACAUCGAUCUUCUCCUGCUCUUAGACACCAGCGCUUCUGGUUCUUGGGCUUCGGAGCUUCAACUAGAUCUGCACUACCGGCUCUCCUGAGGCUCCAACUGGCAAAUGGCUGAUCGUGGUACUUCUCAACUUCCUUGAUGGUGGAAGCCAAUCCCGCAUAGUAAAUCUCUCCUUUCCUACCCACCUACCUAUCAGUCUCUAUCAGUUGGUUCUGUUUCUCUGAGAACACGGACCAGCACAAUUCUAGAGCUUUCUAACUAGUCCAUCUGCACCAGUCCUCACUGUCUUAUAAAACUGCAGAUAGUCUGUUCUCAGCACAGAGGCUGAAGUGAGCCGAUUAAAAAAUUAGAACUAUC